CUUGUAUCAAAAGCUAUAGUCCAUGCAUGGUUAAGUAGAAACUUGUUCUGGCAUGUGAAACUGUGAAUGGCUCUUUAAUUCAGUUAUGGUUUCUGUGAUGGUACCUUGCAAUAAGGAUAACCGUGGUAUUUUUGGAGCUAAUAAGCGCACAAAAAUCCCGAAUGGCCCUUAAAGGGGGCUUGGAAGGGGACGUAUUUAUUGGUAAAAAAGCCGAUGCGGGCUUGCCCGGGGGUGGGGUGAAUCAUUGUUACUUUUUGAAUCCCCCCGCCCUUUGGGACGGGUGAAUUUUCAUAAAAUUUUCCCCCUCACCAAUUUUGGGUGGUGGGGUGGAGGCCCCCCUUGUUAAAACGGGUGAGGAAGAAUUGGGGUUUGUUCCGGGGAGGGA
rnacentral:rRNA from 1 species